rnacentral:rRNA from 1 species
UACAGAGGUCUCAAGCGUUGUUCGGAUUCAUUGGGCGUAAAGGGUGCGUAGGCGGCGCGGUAAGUCGGGUGUGAAAUCUCGGAGCUUAACUCCGAAACUGCAUUCGAUACUGCCGUGCUUGAGGACUGGAGAGGAGACUGGAAUUUACGGUGUAGCGGUGAAAUGCGUAGAUAUCGUAAGGAAGACCAGUGGCGAAGGCGGGUCUCUGGGCAGUAACUGACGCUGAGGAGCGAAAGCGUGGGGGAGCGAACAGG